rnacentral:rRNA from 1 species
GAGUUGUAAUCUGGAGAAGCGUUUUCCGUGUCGGACCGUGCACAAGUCUCUUGGAACAGAGCGUCAUAGAGGGUGAGAAUCCCGUUUAUGGCACGGACAACCGAUACUUUGUGAUACGUUUUCUAAGAGUCGAGUUGUUUGGGAAUGCAGCUCAAAAUGGGUGGUAAAUUCCAUCUAAAGCUAAAUAUAGGCGAGAGACCGAUAGCGAACAAGUACCGUGAGGGAAAGAUGAAAAGCACUUUGGAAAGAGAGUUAAACAGUACGUGAAAUUGUUGAAAGGGAAACGCUUGAAGUCAGUCGCGUCUUCUAGGACUCAGCCUUGCUUCGGUUAGGUGUACUUCCUGGUUUGACGGGUCAACAUCGAUUUUGAUCGACGGAUAAAGGAGAAGGGAACGUGGCACCUCCGGGUGUGUUAUAGCCCUCUUCGUAUACGUCGAUUGGGAUCGAGGACUGCAGCACGCCCUUGUGGCCGGGGGUUCGCCCUACGUAUCGUGCUUAGGAUGUUGACAUAAUGGCUUUAAGCGACCCGUCUUGAAACACGGACCAAGGAGUCUAACAUGCUCGCGAGUGUUAGGGUGGAAAACCCUUGCGCGUAAUGAAAGUGAAAGUUGGGACCUCUGCGAGGAGGGCACCGACGCCCGGCCCUGAAGUYUUCUGACGGUGCUGCGGUAGAGCGCGUAUGUUGGGACCCGAAAGAUGGUGAACUAUGCCUGAAUAGGGCGAAGCCAGAGGAAACUC